GACGAACGCUGGCGGCGUGCUUAACACAUGCAAGUCGAACGAUGAACCCGGAGCUUGCUCCGGUGGAUUAGUGGCGAACGGGUGAGUAACACGUGAGUAACCUGCCCUUGACUCUGGGAUAACUGCGGGAAACUGUAGCUAAUACCGGAUACGACCCUCGGCGGCAUCGCCAGGGGGUGGAAAGAAUUUCGGUCAAGGAUGGACUCGCGGCCUAUCAGCUAGUUGGUGAGGUAACGGCUCACCAAGGCGACGACGGGUAGCCGGCCUGAGAGGGUGACCGGCCACACUGGGACUGAGACACUGCCCAGACUCCUACGAGAGGCAGCAGUGGGGAAUAUUGCACAAUGGGCGCAAGCCUGAUGCAGCGACGCCGCGUGAGGGAUGACGGCCUUCGGGUUGUAAACCUCUUUCAGCACCGACGAAGCGCAAGUGACGGUAGGUGCAGAAGAAGGACCGGCCAACUACGUGCCAGCCGCCGCGGUAA
rnacentral:rRNA from 1 species